rnacentral:misc_RNA from 1 species
UUUGGAAACAUCAUAAACUAUAACAUUAAAAUCAAACUAGAAGCAAUUCACCUAUUUUCAAUAUACACUGAACUAGCUAAGUCAAAAUCAUGUUGUUAACUUGAGGUAGUUAAAAAAUUGAUUCCUGUUUCUCCCUUUUGCCUUUUCUCAAAUUGGCAUCAAUUUUUGGAGAUUUUGUAAGGAAAUUAGGACACAUUUAACCAUUGUAUCUGCUGGUUGAAUAGUUUCAUCUUUUUUCCACAAAACUUCAUAAGUUCUAUAUGCUAAUGUGGCUCCAGUACCACAAGGAAACACAAUAUACAUGUACACACAUAUGUAUGAGGCUCAAUUCUUCAAAAAGAAAUAAAG